rfam:Sarcophilus harrisii ctg7180002315437, whole genome shotgun sequence.
GACCUUGUGGCGCAACUGGCAGCGCGUCUGACUCCAGAUCAGACGGUUACGUGUUCGAACCACGUCAAGGUCA